UACGUAGGGUGCAAGCGUUGUCCGGAAUUAUUGGGCGUAAAGAGCUCGUAGGCGGUCUGUCGCGUCGGCUGUGAAAACCCGGGGCUCAACCCCGGGCCUGCAGUCGAUACGGGCAGACUAGAGUGCGGUAGGGGAGACUGGAAUUCCUGGUGUAGCGGUGAAAUGCGCAGAUAUCAGGAGGAACACCGGUGGCGAAGGCGGGUCUCUGGGCCGACAUUGACGCUGAGGAGCGAAAGCUAGGGGAGCAAACGGG
rnacentral:rRNA from 1 species